rnacentral:rRNA from 1 species
GAUGAACGCUGGCGGCGUGCUUAACACAUGCAAGUCGAACGGACUUUACAUGAAACCUAGUGAUUGUAAAGUUAGUGGCGGACGGGUGAGUAACGCGUGGGUAACCUGCCUUGUACAGGGGGACAACAGUUGGAAACGACUGCUAAUACCGCAUAAGCGCACAGAGCUGCAUGGCUCAGUGUGAAAAACUCUGGUGGUACAAGAUGGACCCGCGUCUGAUUAGCUAGUUGGUGAGGUAACGGCCCACCAAGGCGACGAUCAGUAGCCGGCCUGAGAGGGUGAACGGCCACAUUGGGACUGAGACACGGCCCAAACUCCUACGGGAGGCAGCAGUGGGGAAUAUUGCACAAUGGGGGAAACCCUGACCCAGCAACGCCGCGUGAAGGAAGAAGGCCCUCGGGUUGUAAACUUCUUUUACCAGGGACGAAGAACGUGACGGUACCUGGAGAAAAAGCAACGGCUAACUACGUG